UUGCUAUCUGCGAUAUGGAAGAUUCGAACCUGCCGCAGGUUCUGGACUCACGCAGUGAGACAACGGAGCCGCUUGCGGCGACGGCCCGAAGGGCGAGCGNUUUAGCAACGGCCCGAAGGGCGAGGCAAAGCCGAGUCAUCCUGCACGACCCACCA
rnacentral:sRNA from 1 species